rnacentral:lncRNA from 10 species
UGUGCCACCACGCCCAGUUAAUUUUUGUGUUUUUAGUAGAAACGGGGUUUCACCAUGUUGGCCAGGCUGGUCUCGAACUCCCAACCUCAAGUGAUCCACCCACCUCGGCCUCCCAAAGUGCUGAGAUUACAGGUGUGAGCCACUGCACCCGACUGAAAGUCACAAAUCUAUGAUCAGCAGAAUCUCUACAGAAUAACAAAUGAAACUCCUAUCUUGCAGCAGAGCUUUAAUUCUUACUUCCUCCAGUUAGAAGUGUAUAGCUGGAAUAAAGUCUGAAUCCUCAUCAAAGCCAAGAGGACUACAACCUGAGAGGAGCCUUACCAGGGAUCCCCAUUAGUUCUUUUGAGGGUGGAUGAACAAAAGUUGUUCAUGCUGGUACCAAGAUUUUGGCUGUUAGUGAAAUGACAGGAAUCACUGGAAUGAAGGUUUGCCUUAGGUCCCUUCAUGGUCGCCAAAAUGUCAACCUUAAUAAUGAAAUUCAGGCAACAGUAUUAAAUAUUGAGUUUAUUCGAGUGUAAAUUUGAGGGUGGCCAUCUGAGAGGAUAUAGACUCCAAAAAGAUGGGGUCAGUGCUCUGAAAUGGAGAGGUUUGAGGGUGCUUAAAUAGGUAAAGUCUGGGGAAGCUUACCAGGAUUUCAACAUUUUGCAUACAAGAUUAAUGCAUAGAUACAGCAAUUUGAUUGAUUAUAUGCAGUGUUUCUUUUGGGGGAAGGGUAUAUUUCACAUUUCACAUUAAGGAUGUAAUAGUCAAGGGGUCUUUUUUUCUUGUUUGAGCCAAGUAAAAGAAAAUAGGAAGGAAGUUAAUCUAUAACAAAAGGCCGCCACGCACAGUGGCUCACGCUUGUAAUCCCAGGGCUUUGAAAGGCUGAGAUGGACAGAUCAUUUGAGUCCAGGAGUUUGAGACCAGCAACCCCAUCUCUAUAAAAAAUGCAAAAAUUAGCUUGGUGUGGUGGCAUGUGCCUGUAGUUCCAGCUACUUGAGGGGCUGAGGCAGAAGGAUCUCUUGAACCAAGAAGUUGAGGUUGCAGUGAGCUGAGAUCACUGCACUCCAGACUGGGUGACAAAGUAAGACCUUGUGUCAAAAAAAACAAAAACAAAAAAACAAAAAUGCCAGUAAACAAGAGGUCAUGCUUUGUGACUCAGUCUCCAAAGUCAACCUUGCUUAGGGCCUAACAACUUUUAGAAGCUCAAAAUAGACUAUUUUCUUUCACAAUUUUAAAUUAAAAUUAAGUAAAUAAUGCUAGAAUUGUAAAUUUCAUUUAAAAAACAAUUCAGUCUUAUUAAAUAUUUUUGUACAAAUAGUUAUUCCCAAUGCUAAUAUUCAUUGUCUAUUUAUGAUUAUGUAAAUGUUCAGUCUUACUCUCUACUCAUGUUACAUCUAGACAGAUACAUGUAUAUAUCAGUGUAUACGCAUAUGUGUGUAUGGAGACAAUUAAAAAAAGGAACAUCUGCCACUACCAAGAAACAAUACAUGGUUAUGCAAGAAAAUGCAUUUAUGCUAUCUAAGAGGAAGAGUAUGACAAGCUAAUUUGUGUUUUCUCUUACCCAAGUGCUUCUGUAGCUCGAACACACUCUACGUAGCAUUUCAAAAACAGUGUGCCUAUUUCUCUUAAGUAGCACAACCCAAAACCUUCAAGACAUUAGGAUGCAGUUGUCUUUCAUUUUUUUAAUGGUGGUAAAAUAUGCAUAAGGUAAAGCUUAUCAUUUUAUCCAUUUUUAAGUGUAUAGUUCAGUGGCAUUAAGUACAUUCACAUUGUUGUGCAAGCAUCACCACCCUCCAUCACCGUAACUUUUUCAUCUUCCCAAACUGAAAUUCUACAUCCAUUAAACAAUAACUCUGCUGGCCUCUCUCUCCCCCAGCCCCUGGCAACCACCAUUAUUCUUUCUUACUCUAUGAAUUUGACUACUCUAUAUACCUCAUAUAAGUGGACUCAUACAACAUUUGUCUUUUUAUGAUGCUUGUUUCACUUAGCAUAAUCAACAUUUAUCCAUGUUGUAGCACGUGUCAGAAUUUCCUCCCUCCCCCUGUUUUUUCAGGAAUGAAUUUCUUUCCUUUUUAAGGUUGAAUAACAUUCCAUUGCAUGUCUAUACCACAUUCAUUUAUUUAUUCAUUCAUUCAUGGACAUUUGGGUCAUUUUUAUCGUUUGGUUAUUAUGAAUAACAGUGUUGUGAACACAAAUGUACAAAUAUUUGUUCAUGUCUCUGGUUUCAAUUCUUUUGGUGCCUUUCAG